rnacentral:rRNA from 1 species
GACGAACGCUGGCGGCGUGCCUAAUACAUGCAAGUCGAGCGGACUUUCAAGAAGCUUGCUUUUUGAAAGUUAGCGGCGGACGGGUGAGUAACACGUGGGCAACCUGCCUGCAAGACGGGGAUAACUCCGGGAAACCGGGGCUAAUACCGGAUAAUAUCUUCCUUCGCAUGAAGGAAGGUUGAAAGGCGGCGCAAGCUGCCGCUUGCAGAUGGGCCCGCGGCGCAUUAGCUAGUUGGUGAGGUAACGGCUCACCAAGGCGACGAUGCGUAGCCGACCUGAGAGGGUGAUCGGCCACACUGGGACGGAGACACGGCCCAGACUCCUACGGGAGGCAGCAGUAGGGAAUCUUCCGCAAUGGACGAAAGUCUGACGGAGCAACGCCGCGUGAGCGAAGAAGGUCUUCGGAUCGUAAAGCUCUGUUGUCAGGGAAGAACAAGUACCGUUCGAACAGGGCGGUACCUUGACGGUACCUGACCAGAAAGCCACGGCUAACUACGUG